rnacentral:lncRNA from 1 species
GAAAAAGGAAGUGUCGCUCUCUUUUCCGGUUCCUGCUCCAGUGGUGGGAUGUGAUUCACCAGCAAGGAGGGACAUCAAUAAGGCGUCCGAUAAGAUAAGUCUCAUAAAAUAUAUAGAUGUAUGAUAAUUGAGACUGAGCUAACAGAUGAGAAUCCUAGUCAUUGGCCAAGCAGCUUUGUAACUAAUACAAGUCUCUCUGUGUAUUCAUUUGGGCCUAACUCGGGCUGGCGGCUGGCGUAAAGCUCACAUGUGGCGAUGGGGCUCAAGCAGCUUUUGGUGGAAAGAUUUAUCGUAACACCUGGUGCCAGGAAAACCCUCAGGAAUUCAUGAAGAUGACCCCAGCUAAGACUCCUAGCAAAUAGUGGAGAAGGUGCCUGAACUGCCCUUCUCCUGUAAUCAGAUUGAUGACUACCCUAACUGUCAUCAGAGAGCCUUCAUCCAGUAACUGAUGGAAGCAGAUGCAGAGAUCCACAGCCAAGCACUGGGCAGAGCUCCAGGAGUCCUACUGGAAAAGGGGAGGAGGGAUUGUAUGAGCCUGGGGGGCGGUGUCAAGGUCAUGAUGGGGGAGCCCACUGAGACAAAUGACCUGAGCUCAAGGGAUCUCAUGGACUCUGAACCAACAGUUAGGAAGCCUAAAUGGAACUGACCAAGGCCCUCUGCCUAUGUGUGACAGUUGUGUAGCUUUUUCUGUUUGUAAGGCUCCCAGCAGUGAAAUAAGGAUCUGUCUCUGGCACUCAGCUGGAUUUUGGGAGCCUGUUUCCCAUGCUGCAUUACCUCACCCAGCCUUGAUUCAGGGGGAGGAACUCAGGAAUUGAUGCUUGAUUCAAGCUCACGAGAGGCCUGCCCCUUUCUGAAUGGAGACAGAGUAGGAGUGAAUGAAAAAAAAUAUUAAUUAAAUAACAUUAGAAAAAAGAAGAUUCACAUGAGUAGAGUGUACAAUCUCAAGGGCAAGCUGAACAUGAUUGGCAGGCCACACAGGAUGAAAACCUUUACCAUAGAGGCGUAUAAACAGAUCACAAUAGUCAAUUGUAAUGAAUGAUCUGAAGUAGACUCACUCCUAUCUGCUGGGAGGAGCAUGGAAACACAUUCCAAGACCAAUUCCAUGUUUUGAAGAAACUGAGGUCACAAGACUCUUGUUUCCUUGGAGUUUUCUCAGAAGCACUCAGAAUUCUUGCAUGAUUCCAUUCUUGGACCAUGUCCUAACAAGUGAGCGAGGCAGGCCUGUGCCACUUCUGCUUAGAGAAUGAGUUUCCAUUCAAAGCUUCCCUCACAUUGUCUUGUUUUCAUUUACUCUGAGGAAAAUUCCCAUCAAGCCAGAGUUGAGUGAGUGUUGACAGGGUAGCUGAAGUUUCAUCUCCUUUCUUGUUUGGAUACUGUUUUCAUUCUAAUUUUAGGAGGAGAAUGCUGGGGUGUAGGGAAUCGGGUAGGUUUGUGAGUUUCAAUGACUAGUUGUCAUAGCCCAGGCCUGCUGCCUUCAGGCUCCUAACUCUACUAAAGUUUUCUUUCAAAAGAGAAAUGCUGAUUGUUUACAUUUUCAAGGGAAGAAAAAACAGAAUUUUUGUUAUUUAGAGCAAUAAAAGAAGGAACACUUCUGAAAAGUACUAGUGAAAAAAAAAGAAACUAAGCAUAAAUACAUGUUGUAAUCAGGGGUAGGGGGUGUGAUGUGGUCAGUAGUAAUAGUCAAGACAGAUGACUCAGGAAGUCAGUGAAUCACUCAGAAGAAUAUGAGUUACUUAACAUCUUGUAUCAGAACAUCCUUCCUCAAUUUUAUCUGAUUUUCUAGGGAUAGUUCAUUUUUGACUUAAUUUAUAUUAAAAGCAAAUUUAAUAUUUGCCCAGCAAAUGAAUGAGCCAUGGAGAGUGAUGCUAACAGCAAUUAGGUGCUCACAAGUUUCAUCACUGCAAUUAGUGGCUCUGUCGUGCAUGGAGUGGGGUCAAGCUCUCCCACUAGAGGGCGUUGAGGUCGUGUCUCAGUUUGCCUAAGGAGGGUGUGGUCUGAUUUGUGUUCAUUAGGAGACUUUUACAUAAAGAAGUGAUGGUUUUAGAGACAGACCAAUGCAAAAGCUGUAGCUUAUCUAGUAAGUUGUAUUAUCCUUCAACCUACUUAAUAUCAUUUAUGCAAACGUAAGUCAACAGUUUCUCUUAAAAUCCUGUCCUAUAAUUAUAGUCACUGAGUUUUCAGGGAAAAAUAUUUGAAAGUUUGAGAAAGACUUGCCCUAAUGCCACACUUGUAAAGAUGUCUGAUGUUUCCUCUGACUGUAAGUAAGAGUAACUAAAUUAUUUGAUAUGAAUGUAGCUUUUAAAGAGUCUCAUCAAACAGUUGACAAGAACGUGAUUUGAGAAAGCAGGGAGAUGUCUGAGCUUUAUUUGAAUUUUUAUGAACAUAAGUUUUAAAACUAUAAAUUAAAAAGAAAAAAUCAAUUGCAUAUACAAUAAGCAAUACUUACUAAAGUGAAUUUUAAAUGUCUAAAUAUAUAGUCUGCCUAGGUAUGGAGAAAUACAGCAUCAAUGUGUCAUCAGUGGGCAUUCAACAUUCAGUCCCAAAAAGUGCAUUUAAAUAGAAACGAAGGAGGCCAGAUAUCUAGACUUCUUCUUGACUGACUAUGGCUUCGAUUCAUUGUCUGAAUAUGCUGAACCUGGAUUGUGAGCAUCAGGACUCAGGGCAGAAGAGAAUUGCAAGUAAAGAGUGAGAUGCCAGAAACCAUCCGGCCACUUUCAUCCAAUCACUUCCCACCACUUGCUCAUCGAGGUGGUGUGUGCUCCCAGACAGCCACCUGCUCAACUUUCCACUGCGUGGAAUCCCAGCUCCUUAAUCAAAACGAAACAAAAGGAUGUCUCUCUUCGGGGUGAUGAUACGAUGCACUUUCCUGCGCUCCGAGGUACCACCACGGAGAGAUGGGCAUCCUGGCGCCAGAGUGUCCUCUGAGGCUGGGCUGCCUGGGUCAGAAAGAGACAUCAGAGAUUAUAUAAUCAAGUCCUACGUUGGAUAGAGAAGAAAGCCUGAAGCCCAGAGCAGACUCGAGACUUGCCAAGGUCAUAUGAGUUUUUAAUGAACAUUUCAUUUGUGUAAAUAAAGAGGCAGCGCACAACAAGAACCACUCAUCAAAAGUCUGAUAUUUUCCUUAGAAAUAAAGACAAACAUUGUGCCUCUUAAAUGCGGUGGGAGUUGAAGGAUGGUCAAAGGUUUGUUCUCUAGGCUCUAGCGUUCUGGGGCACCAGAGACCUUUACUGGAACGGGGUAUUUACAGUUCUGGACUUUGGCUUGUUCCUGCUUCAACAUAGACUUCACCAGAUGUGAACCAGGAAACAAUGUACCCUGCGCAUCAUUCACACUGGGACCAUGUUCUCUCCAAGAAACUUUGUUUCCAGGAAGGGACUUCCCAACCCUAUACCUGUUAGCUCAGUGCUCUAGCCCUGAACUAUGUCAGCCACCAAAAAGAAAAUUCUUCCCCAUGGUCCACUGAACCACUCAAGCCUCCUGGAGAGUUGCAAAAUCUAAACAAACAGGUUGUGUUUUCAGUUUGUCUACUUUAAAACCAAACUUCACCCACGUGAAACUGGCAGGCAUGCUUCAAAUGGCGAAGGCUUCUAGGUGCUUUCUGAGCCGCUUCUGACUCACAUCCUAGCCACCUAUUUAUUCUGAGACAGGAGGACUCUUUUUUUUUUUUUCUUCAAUGUAACCAACUGGUUCUUGCCAUUUCCCCAUUGUUUCUCC